rnacentral:misc_RNA from 1 species
CCGAAUUAAAUUCCGGGGUUGUAGCUGGCCAUUGUUUUGGCAUGUGCACGCCUUGGUAAAUCCAUAUAAUUUAAUACCACUGUGCACCAUUCUAUGGGAAUUGAUGAGGCUGUGUAUAACGCUGUCUGCGUCUAAUGGCAUUGUCGUUCUCAUAUCUUUACAUUCACGCUUUAGUCUUAGAAUGUUUAUUGCGUUGGACGCAUUUAAAUA